rnacentral:rRNA from 1 species
AGUGAACGCUGGCGGUAGGCCUAACACAUGCAAGUCGAACGGCAGCACAGUAAGAGCUUGCUCUUACGGGUGGCGAGUGGCGGACGGGUGAGGAAUACAUCGGAAUCUACUUUUUCGUGGGGGAUAACGUAGGGAAACUUACGCUAAUACCGCAUACGACCUACGGGUGAAAGCAGGGGAUCUUCGGACCUUGCGCGAUUGAAUGAGCCGAUGUCGGAUUAGCUAGUUGGCGGGGUAAAGGCCCACCAAGGCGACGAUCCGUAGCUGGUCUGAGAGGAUGAUCAGCCACACUGGAACUGAGACACGGUCCAGACUCCUACGGGAGGCAGCAGUGGGGAAUAUUGGACAAUGGGCGCAAGCCUGUUCCAGCCAUACCGCGUGGGUGAAGAAGGCCUUCGGGUUGUAAAGCCCUUUUGUUGGGAAAGAAAAGCAGCAGGUUAAUACCCCGCUGUUCUGACGGGACCCAAAGAAUAAGCACCGGCUAACUUCGU